rnacentral:lncRNA from 1 species
AGGACCGUGAUCCAGGAGUUAAAUCGCUCCUUUUAAGGCCGUUCUCUCCCAGCCCUGUGAGAAGAGGUAAUUUUGCAAAUUAGCCCAAGAACCCUGAAUGAGUUAACCCCUGUGAAGCAGGAGUGCAUCUCGCUCCACCACCAAAGGUUUAGGCCUGCACGUUCCAGACCCUUCUGCUGCCUUCUCCCUCUGGGCCUGUUCACGUCACUCCAGCUCUUCUCCAAGGAGCCGGCUGGGUCUGGCCGGAGACGCUGCCAGCUCCACGGAGCCGUCAGCCUUCAGAGCAGCACCUUGGGCCAGGAAACACGGACAGGGGGAGUUCUGUGUGCGACUAAUGGACCCCAGAUAGAGCCACUCUUCAGUCACUGCCGUCACUUGAAAAUGCAUUUCCAGUUGACAAUAGCCGUCUGCCUAUAGAUAGCUCCACGCAGAGAUGGCUGGUCAGGCUGCUCUCCCAGAUGCCUGGGUCAGCAAUUUCCAAAGCAUCCAGUCAGCAGUUCCUGCUUCCUCCAGCAAAGUCUGGCUCUCUCCUCCCAUCUCCCAGUCCCAGGACAGGGUCCGGGCCUAGAGGGGACAGUGGCCGCCCCAAUCCGUUGCCAACAGCAGGCCCCUCUCUCUGCGCUGCCUCCAGGCCCCCAGCAGCAUCCACUUUUUAAAGGUGCCACCCGUGCCACCAGGAAGUCUCGUGUUCAGAAGUGUUCCCCAGACACGACGGGCCCCAGUCACAGUGCCUGGUCACCUGCAGGAGGCGCACCUGUGCUGCCCAGAUGCCGACAAAGCCCAGAGCGAGCAGGCAACUCCCCACAGGACUCAGUGAACCAGGUUUGAACCCAGGUCGGCUGAUUUAUGCCCAUGUGUGUCUAUGCUGUUUAUAUGCGGGAACACACGUGCAUAUGG